GUUUUAACAUUUAUGAUUGACAGUAGAGCAUUUAUCUUCUUUUUUAUAUAUGUAGACUGCCAACAGUCACUAUUUUGUCAGAAUAUAGCAUGAAUUGUCUAAAGAAGAAAAAAAAGUUCAAAGAGUUUACAAGUCUAUGUAACGCUGUCACUGAAGCUGCUUUAAAGUCAAAUAAUAACUUAACCAAAAUAAAUGCUAUCCAACUUAUUGGAAGAGUAAUUAGGCAUUCUUCUGAGCGAAU